rnacentral:rRNA from 1 species
CCUACGGGUGGCAGCAGUGAGGAAUAUUGGUCAAUGGACGAGAGUCUGAACCAGCCAAGUAGCGUGAAGGAUGACUGCCCUAUGGGUUGUAAACUUCUUUUAUAUGGGAAUAAAAUGUUCCACGUGUGGGAUUUUGUCUGUACCAUAUGAAUAAGGCUCGGCUAACUCCGUGCCAGCAGCCGCGGUAAUCCGGAGGAUCCGAGCGUUAUCCGGAUUUAUUGGGUUUAAAGGGAGCGUAGGUGGAUUGUUAAGUCAGUUGUGAAAGUUUGCGGCUCAACCGUAAAAUUGCAGUUGAAACUGGCAGUCUUGAGUACAGUAGAGGUGGGCGGAAUUCGUGGUGUAGCGGUGAAAUGCUUAGAUAUCACGAAGAACUCCGAUUGCGAAGGCAGUUCACUGGACUGCAACUGACACUGAGGCUCGAAAGUGUGGGUAUCAAACAGGAUUAGAUACCCGGGUAGUC